rnacentral:rRNA from 1 species
AUGAAGUCUCUGCAAGGUUAUUUGUUUGACAUGCAUGACCUCUACUCAGUCAAAUUGGACUCCAGUUCCUUCCUGGUCCGUCCAAGGCAUCAAGGUCAAGACCAUAUUUCUGUGAAAUGCGUUGAAAGGAUUCUGACGAUAUUGUCGUUGGUGAUGUUAAGAGUCGCUGAAGAACUCAUUGCGUUAGACAUUGCUAUUCAUCCAAGACAUGAAAAGCAAAUGAGACCACAUCAGUUGGCAGGCAUGUAUUACCGCAGAAAAAGAAAGCCUUCCGACCCCAUCAAUAAUCUUUCACUUACUGCAAAUACGAUUUGCAGUUGGAGAUGUGGCAGUGUUACCGAGGAGUGGGACAGCUUGUAUGCUCAGAAGGUCCAAUUGUUAACUUUGCUUUCUACUCUGCCCGAGCCCGCUCUGAGUUAUGGGCCGAGUGUUCAAACCAAUAUGGCCAAUUCUAUUGAGCAAAGAGAACAGAAAAAGAGUGACAUAAUAGUUCUUGAUUUGGAUGAUGAUGAUGAAAGCACAGGAGCACACAAACAACUGAUGCCUGAGAAAAACAAACAGCUCACAUCUUAG